GGGGGCAUAGCUCAGUUGGUAGAGCAGCGCCCUUUUAAGGCGUCGGUCCCUGGUUCGAAUCCAGGUGCCCUCA
rnacentral:tRNA from 1 species